rnacentral:rRNA from 1 species
CGAAUGGGGAAACCCAGCAUGAGUUAUGUCAUGUUAUCGAUAUGUGAAUACAUAGCAUAUCAGAAGGCACACCCGGAGAACUGAAACAUCUUAGUACCCGGAGGAAGAGAAAGAAAAUUCGAUUCCCUUAGUAGCGGCGAGCGAAACGGGAAGAGCCCAAACCAACAAGCUUGCUUGUUGGGGUUGUAGGACACUCUAUACGGAGUUACAAAGGACGACAUUAGACGAAUCAUCUGGAAAGAUGAAUCAAAGAAGGUAAUAAUCCUGUAGUCGAAAUGUUGUCUCUCUUGAGUGGAUCCUGAGUACGACGGAGCACGUGAAAUUCCGUCGGAAUCUGGGAGGACCAUCUCCUAAGGCUAAAUACUCUCUAGUGACCGAUAGUGAACCAGUACCGUGAGGGAAAGGUGAAAAGCACCCCGGAAGGGGAGUGAAAUAGAACCUGAAACCGUGUGCUUACAAGUAGUCAGAGCCCGUUAAUGGGUGAUGGCGUGCCUUUUGUAGAAUGAACCGGCGAGUUACGAUUUGAUGCAAGGUUAAGCAGUAAAUGUGGAGCCGUAGCGAAAGCGAGUCUGAAUAGGGCGUUUAGUAUUUGGUCGUAGACCCGAAA